rnacentral:rRNA from 1 species
UACGAAGGGGGCUAGCGUUGCUCGGAAUUACUGGGCGUAAAGCGCGUGUAGGCGGCCCUGCAAGUCGGGUGUGAAAUCCCACGGCUCAACCGUGGAAGUGCACUCGAAACUGCAGGGCUAGAGUCCUGGAGAGGAAGGUGGAAUGCCUGGUGUAGAGGUGAAAUUCGUAGAUAUCAAGCGGAACACCGGUGGCGAAGGCGGCCUUCUGGACAGUGACUGACGCUGAGACGCGAAAGCGUGGGGAGCAAACAGG